rnacentral:rRNA from 1 species
CAGCAGCCGCGGUAAUACGUAGGUGGCGAGCGUUGUCCGGAAUUAUUGGGCGUAAAGCGCGCGCAGGUGGUUUAAUAAGUCUGAUGUGAAAGCCCACGGCUCAACCGUGGAGGGUCAUUGGAAACUGUUAAACUUGAGUGCAGGAGAGGAGAGUGGAAUUCCACGUGUAGCGGUGAAAUGCGUAGAGAUGUGGAGGAACACCAGUGGCGAAGGCGACUCUCUGGUCUGUAACUGACGCUGAGGAGCGAAAGCGUGGGGAGCGAACAGGAUUAGAUACCCCAGUAGUCCCUGUCUCUUAUAC